rnacentral:misc_RNA from 1 species
UUUCCGUAGGUGAACCUGCGGAAGGAUCAUUACCGAGUUAGGGUGCUGCUCACAGCGCCCGACCUCCCAACCCUUUGUCUAUGUUACCAUACAGUUGCUUCGGCGUGCCGAGGGGUCAGACCCUCGCCGGACUUUCGGUCGGGAGCGCGCACGCCGAUGGCCACACCAAAACUAUUGAACCCAAACCAUGUCGUCUGAAAACUUGUGAUUACGAUUAAUCAAAAACAAAACUUUCAACAACGUAUCUCUUGGUUCUGGCAUCGGGAAGAACGCAGC